rnacentral:rRNA from 1 species
AUUGAACGCUGGCGGAAUGCUUUACACAUGCAAGUCGAACGGCAGCACGGACUUCGGUCUGGUGGCGAGUGGCGAACGGGUGAGUAACAUAUCGGAACGUAUCCAAUAAUGGGGGAUAACGAGUCGAAAGAUUCGCUAAUACCGCAUACGCCCUACGGGGGAAAGCUGGGGACCUUCGGGCCUGGCGUUAAUGGAGCGGCCGAUAUCUGAUUAGCUAGUUGGUGGGGUAAAGGCUCACCAAGGCGACGAUCAGUAGCUGGUCUGAGAGGACGACCAGCCACACUGGAACUGAGACACGGUCCAGACUCCUACGGGAGGCAGCAGUGGGGAAUUUUGGACAAUGGGCGCAAGCCUGAUCCAGCCAUUCCGCGUGAGUGAAGAAGGCCUUCGGGUUGUAAAGCUCUUUCGCAAGGGAAGAAAACUUAGCCACUAACAUUGGUUGAGGUUGACGGUACCUUGAUAAGAAGCACCGGCUAACUACGUGCCAGCAGCCGCGGUAA